UACGUAGGUGGCAAGCGUUAUCCGGAUUUACUGGGUGUAAAGGGCGUGUAGGCGGGAGAGCAAGUCAGACGUGAAAUUCCAGGGCUCAACCCUGGAACUGCGUUUGAAACUGUUCUUCCUGAGUGAUGGAGAGGCAGGCGGAAUUCCGUGUGUAGCGGUGAAAUGCGUAGAUAUACGGAGGAACACCAGUGGCGAAGGCGGCCUGCUGGACAUUAACUGACGCUGAGGCGCGAAAGCGUGGGGAGCAAACAGG
rnacentral:rRNA from 1 species